UCCCUCGUAGCUCAGUCGGUAAAGAAUCUGCCUGCAAUGCAGGAGACCCAGGUUCGAUUCCUGGGUUGGGAA
rnacentral:tRNA from 1 species